UCGAAAGGUUGAGGUCUCUCGACACCGGUUCUUUCUGUGCUCCUGACUCUGGAGUUGAUUUUCUUGUGAUAAGUGCUGGUUAGAGUAAAGUUCUCUUGAGGGCGCCCUUUCGAAAUGUGGUCUACUCACUUAGAAGAGAUCACAUCGGGUAGCACCUACGAGCGCGGUGUGUGAUUUUGGAUUUUAAAACUUGCAUUAUCUCACUUUUAACGGUUCAAGAAUGUCGAGGCAACAUGACACAGAAGGAACGGAGCGGCAGACCAAUCGGAAGUAGCGGCCACGCUGCGCAGAAGGAUCCUCCACCCCCACCCUCCCCAACCCGGGGGUGGAAUGGCCGUCCAGCCCCCUUCGGCUAAAAGUUGCGGGUACAGUGGACGCGGGUGAUAUAUGAUGUUGACAAGCGGGGUACUUUUCACCCAUGGCAGCCCAUUUAUUAGCGCGCCACCCACAAAAGCCCGAGCGUCCGACCGGAAUCAAUAGAAAGCAGCCGUUUACUACCCAAAAAAGAAGUAGGAAUGUGCGAAAAUGAGGGUGCGAUCUCACUUGUUUUGGAUCGCACUACAAAUCUUUCGAGUUUCCUUUAAAACUCCGCACCAUGAUUUGCAUUUAUAACCAUCAAAAUCGCACAGUGGCCUCCGUAUAACACAAGAACAUGAGCAGGCUUGACGGACUGAAUCGCCAAUUUUACUCUUGAAUUUGGGUGGAUUUUGGAAUUUUCCGGUAAGCAAAGCCAAAAGCACAGUAUAAUAACAAUUAGCUGCUGAAAUAUGAAAAUGUCAAUGACAAAAAAAUCAAGUAAAACACCGGGACGAUGCAAGGUGCGUUCCAGACUCAUUUUCAACAGGAGGAAAUGAAGGAAAAAUAGUUGUUGAUACGCUGAAAUUGCAAGACUGAGACCGAUUACAGAGUCUCAUCAAGUCGGUUACUUUACUUCAUUAUUUGUUUUGAUCUUUUAAAUUUUUCAGCAGC